CUCUCUCUCUCCUUCAAAAAUAAAUAAAAACAUUAAAAGUAAGCUUUGAGUGAUUAGUAAAAGCAUAGAUAUUGAGGUCAGACAGCUGUGGUGAUUAAAAUAAUAAAGCACCUUGAACAUACAGUUGACCUUGAACAUUUGGCUGGAUGAGGGGUGCCUGCUCCCCAUGCACUCAAAACAACUCAUGUUACUAUUGACUCCCUCCAAACUUGACUACACACAGCCUACUGUUGUCCAACACCAAAUUUGGGGAGAAGAGAACAUGAAAUAAGGAAGAGGGAUUAGGAGAGUGGCAGUAGAAAGGGAAAGGAGAGGCAAUUAUGAGGAACAUGUUCAAGGUAGAGCCAAUAGAACUUGGUAACUGAUUUUGUGUGGGUUAAGGGAAGGAUAAAAAAAAAAAAUGUGUUCCAGCUGAUGUGAGCAGAAUGAAGUGGCAUUAACAGAAUAAUAAUUAUAACCGUAGAUACAAUUUGUUGAGUGCUGAUUGUGCUUCGGGCCCUGUGUGUCCAUUACCACUUAAUUUUAGCGACGUGACACUUAAUUUUAACAACUUUGGGAGAUUACCAUCCCCAUUCUGCAGAUGAAGAAACCAAGGUUCCUGGGAGUCGAAUUACAUCACCAAGUAUGGAUUUGAGAGCUGUCUUAUUUUAAACGCAUCAUGGAGAAUAAAGGAAGUUAAGAGGAGACGCGGCCACAGGUGAGAUAGAAUGACCAUUGGAAUCGCCUGUUUGCACUAAGGAACUUCUAGUAGGUUCUGAGGAGAAAUUGACAUCCCUUGGGCAUCGGGACAAGGGGUGGAGAAUGCUUUGUGUACCUUCCAUAUCUCAGUGGGCCUCUAGUUGUAGUAGAUGUUUAACAAAUAUGUGUGGAAAGAAUGAAUGAUGCCUGGCAAUCAUGCUGUGUUUCUUCAGACCAGUAACUGAAGUCCACCGAAUCAUGUUUCAAAGACAUGAGCCAUUAUCACAUUUCGCCACUUACCCCUGUAGUUCUCAGCCUGGUAUCGUUCUAACGUUUACGAAGUCAUCUCACCAUGUUUACCUCUGUGUCAAGGUUUAGUUUACUCUGAGGAUUCUCUCCCCAACUUCGUUAGAAACCCACUGGUACGUAUUCUCAUCUUCAUUAAGGGACAAAGCAGGGUGCAAGGAGCCCAGCGCGUUCCCCAGCAAAUAAAAUGGAAAGAGAUGGGCGCCCGGCAUGGUCCCAGAAAUAAAUCCACGACCACGAGUCUUCUGUCAUCUAAGCAGACACUCAUCUGUGUAUCUCUAUGAUUACAGUUGAAUUGGCCUCUAGGCUUCUGUAACUUUUCAGCUUGUGUGGGAACAGAAAUUGUCCUCUGCCCAAGAGGGUCAGAACCAGAGAUCACAACCCCAGGUAGCACUUCAGGCAGUCGAUGGCCCCCAUUCCUCUGACCAAGGAUUCUUGCCUUUCUUUUCCAGCUCUACUCUUACCCCCUCAUUCCUUGCUUUCCUUCAACUUUUCCAGCCCCUUCUCCUACUCCAUUCCUCCUGCUCUGCCUGUCCUUCUGUCCACCCUCUGCUGUCCUACUCCCAGAGAUCCUUCCCUCCCCCACUCGUCCUGUUUCCUUGCCUCACCGGGCAGGCCCUGAGGCAGUGCUGGGACGACCACCACGGAGCCCUGACGUCAUAGGCCAGAACACGGAGAGCCCAGAGCAGGGGUUCUUGACCGAUGAUCCAUAAAUGAGCUCCAGGAGUCCCGCGAACCCUUGGAAAUUAUGUACAAAAGUUGGCCGUAGGCACUACCUGCCGUUAUUUUUGGAGCAGGGUCCGUGACGUUUAUCAGAGUCUCAAGGGAUUUCAAAACCCAAAAAAGGUAACAUCAAGUAGGCUUGGAUUAUCAAGUAAAGUAAAAAGUAAGCAUCUUUUUUUUUUUUUCACUUUACUUUAAAGUAAACCUUACCACUUGGUCUGGAGAAACCAGGUGGCUCUUAGCAGAUGAGAUUUUCUAGGAAUAUCUGCCUAUAUUUCCUGAAUGGAGCGAGCUACCAGAAUGUCAACAGCGCAUUAGGACGGACUAUUGAAUGAUGGUCAAUCUAAUUUCAAUAUCAGGGCUAAAGAGCUGCAGAUACCGACCCUUGAAAGCAAGGCAAAAGGGAGGGGCGGGAAUCUGUCACGGAACAUUGACAUUGUUGCCUUGUUCAAGGCACUGGGAAUAUAGUGGUAAUAAGACAAACUGGAUUCCCUGAAUUCAUUGAAUUCUAGUGUAAGAAGCAAAUAAAUAUAUGAGCUCAGAGACUCGUAAAUGCUAUGAAUGAAAGAAAGCAGGGUAACGUAACAUGGUACUGGGGAGGCAACAUCAAACAGGGUGGUCAGAGAAGAGCUUUCUCAGAAGCCGACAUUGGGGUUAAUCUUGAGUGGUGACAAGCCAGAGAUGGGUAGGUCCUGGGAAAGAGCAAUUGGGCGGGUGGGGUAGGAAGCGGGAAACAACAAAUGCAAAGGGCUUGAGCUUGGAUGUGAACUUGAAGCAAAGAAAACCAGAGACACUGGAGCAUAGUAAGCAAGAGAAGAAAAGGAUACAAUGAUGACAUCAGAGUGGGGAACAGAGACCAGAUAAUGUACAGAAUUUCAGGCCAAGGUAAGGACUUGGGAUUUUAUACAAACCCACAUUUGAAAUCCACCGGAGCAUACUAAGCAGGGGAGUGAAGAUAAACAUUUAUUUAACAAAGAUUUGUUUGACAACCUACUGUAUACGAGUCAUUUCCUAGUCAUGAGGGUCUAUGCCAGGCCCGGCCUCUGCUCUCAUGGAACUUACAUUUGAGUGAAACAAAUUAAAUGAACCCAGCAACAGGCAAACACCAGGGAACGAUAAAUUUUAUAAAGAAGAUGAAGUCAAAAAGUGCGGCGGAAAGUGACCUGCAAGCUACUAUAGACUGAGUGCAGGAGAAAUGGCCAACACAGUGGCCCCCACUGAGAAACAAAUGUGCUAGAAUGUUUGAGGUAAGAACCAAAGACAGAGGGGCAAGAUGGGGAGAGUGGUUCAAAACUGAGGUCAAAGAAGAAAUAAAAAGGUAGGUAAGGUUUAGAUUAAGAAAAUGAAAAGGCAUUGGAGGGUUUUAAACACGAUGCCUUCAUCUGUUUGAGCUGCUAUAGCAAAACACCAUAAAUGGGGUGGCUUCUAAGAAAUAGAAAUUUCUCUCUCCCAGUCCUGGAGCUGAAAGUUCAAGAUCAAGGCACCGGCGGUGUCCAUGUUUGGUAAGCGCUUGCUUCCUGGUUUAUAGGCGGCUGUCCUCUCAUUGUUCUUCCCAUGGCGGAAGGGGUGAAGGGGCUCCGCGGGGUCUCUUGUGAGAGCACACCUCUCAUUCAUGACAGUUUCACAUUCAUCACCUAAGCAUCUCCCAAGGCCCCACGUUCAAAUACUAUCACGUUGAUCAUUAGGUCUCAAUGUCUGAACUUUGGAGGGAUACAAACAUUCAGUAUUAACACUGGAGAACAACGUCCACUGACUUUUACUCUAAAAGUAUAAUGGGCUUCAAUGCAGAGAAGGGGUUGCUAGGGCGGAGAUGGGGUUGAAAGGAAGCUGUUUAAGAAAGUGCAGCGGUAACUUAGGCCCCAAAUGACGGUACCUUGGACAAGUACCGUCGUACUAGACAAGGUCAAAAGGAUUAGAUUUGGGAUCUUUCUUUUGUCGGUAAAGCCGGCGGGACUCUCUAGAGGCUAUGACGUAGAAGGAAGAGGAGGACAAGGAAUUAAACUUCUGGAUUUUGGUUUGACCAGUUAAAUAAAUGGUACACCACUUACUGUGGUGGAGAAGGUAUCCUCCACGAGGUAAAUAGUUGCAUUCCCACUUUACAGAUGAGGAAACUAAGCUUCAACAAAUAUGAUUCCAAAAUCUAUGCUUUAUCCACCACAGUGUCUUUGCCAGGACUGUGGAUUAUCCAGGUUUGAUUAAUGGGCAUAGGAAGAGGGUAUAUAUGGCAAAAAAGGCAAGUAUCUUGGCAGCGUACGUAAGGUGCGUGUGUGCAUGCCUCUGUGUGUGUGUGCGUGUGUGUGUGUGUUCUAGUAAUCUUGCUGAGAGAAGUGUAGAUCAGCUCUCUUAUUUUUUAUCCCUUCCUUUAUCGUCCCCAUCUCUGAAAGUGGAAAGAUAGUGGAGAAAUCAGAAGACUCCAGACUUGAGACCAGCCUGUGCUGCGGGUACCAGGAUGAGCUCUGACAAACUGAGGGCUAAACAUGGACAGAUUUAGCAUACUCAUGCCUUUUGCCUUUCCCUUUCUCAUUUAUUGCCUGGGACGUAGCCGUAACAUCUAAAGGUAAAAGAGUAGUCUUUAGACAACGAGGAUGAAAGGUGUUGCUGUGGAUGGUUGAAGAGGACAGCAGAAAUGGCCUGGAUCUUUAAUGAUCGCCUUGAAAACCAUCCUUGUCCUUGACUGCUUACCUCUGGAUUUCUUUUUAGAGGAGGUAAAAUAGUUUGCUGAAGUCAUCGUAACUGGCUUACGAACACAUGUGCCAAACGCUGUCUUAACCGAUACAGGAACUAAACUUGGUCACAAAAGUAUACACUGAUCUUAACAUUGUAAGUGACUUCAAGAAGAAAUAAAGAAGCUAUUUUGUCCCCCCAGAAAAGAGAUCAUGAAGAGUCUGUUGCUUCUCCUUGGUUGCUUCUCCUGGUUGGCACUGGGUGCGAACAAGAGGUGGGAAUCAUAUAAAAGUAAGGAAAAUCUUAGCUGUGUGGAUGGGGAGGCGAGGUCAAGAGAAAGGAAGUAAGCCAUUCUGUAGAUAUCCAACAUGCCAAAACUUUCCUCCAAAUGUCAAAGCAACGAGCCACCAGGCAGCUGGACUGAACUCAUCCUUCCCUUGCACUUCCUCGUAAUCUGUUUCUCAUCUAAGGUAAGGGUAUCACCACCCACCCAUUCUCCUUGGUCAAAGAGCACUAUCUUCUUCAGCCCCGUGGGGACUUGAUCACCAAAUCCUCUAGAGUGUACCGCUUCAACUCAGACCCUUCUGUGUAUAUGAAUGAAGGAGACAGAUGUACAAAGAUAUUUAAUUGCUGCUCAAGACAUCUUUGUCUUCAUGGACAACGGCAUUAAUUUCCCAGUCACCGGUUCGUCCCCAUUCUUGUCUUCAGUCUCAAGUUCUGGCACAGUUGUAUUCCUAGAAGCCAAAAUGUAUCUGUUUCUCCUUUGCUUUAAAAUAUCGAGGAGCUUUGUGACACCCGGGUGGCUCAGUUGGUUAAGUGGCCGACUUCGGCUCAGGUCGCGAUCUCACAGUUUGUGAGUUCGAGCCCCGCAUCGGGCUCUGUGCUGACAGCUCGGAGACUGGGGCCUGCUUUGGAUACUAUGUCUCCUUCUCUCUCUGCCCCACCCCUGCUCAUGCUCUGUCUCUCUCUCUCAAAAGUAAAUAAACAUUUUUUUUAAGUUUUUUUAAAAAAGUUAAAAAAAUAAAAUAUUGAGGAGCUUUGAAAAAAAAAUAUCUAGGACCUUUGUGUUUGGAUGGUGUUCAAAUUCCUCUGCAUGGCACAUUAGGACUUUCAAAAUCUACCCACAUGUUACAUCUCUAGCCGUAUUUCCUAUUAUUGUCUCUGCACUGAAUUCCAGGUGUACCAUGAACUUUCAUAAUUCUAUAAAGCAGUAGGUGCUCUACCAGAAGUAUCUUUCUGUCUCUUUUCAUCAGCUAAACCCAGCUCAAAUUCCUUUCUUUCUUUCCCAGGAAAAUUAAUUAUUAAUUAUUUUGGACCUCCUACAUCCUGUUCACAUAACUCUUGGUUUUGGGGUGUGUGAGUAUGUGAGGGGAGCCGGUGCCCGAAUGGCUAGCACAUGGAAACAUCUCAGUGUAUCGGAGAAAAAGGAAAAGACGAAGAGUGUUUCCAUUAGAGACUUUUUUUCUUUUCUUUUUGCUUACUUCUUCUAGUGAACGUGAAGUUGAAUCUAUGUCUUCAUAUACAAAGGGAAGUAUUUUCAGAAAAUUAUUUUUGAAGCGGUAACUCAUGUUUCAGAAAGUCAGACUGCAAAGACACCCAAGAUCCCUUCUAGCGGAAUUCUAUGCCAAGAUAUAUGUAUAUAUAUUUUUAAUGCUCUAUCAGAAUAUUUUAAAAUGAAAAGUUUGUAGAAUUCGGUUAUGUAACUAAAUGUCUGAAACCUUCCCUUUGCUUUGUACUUAUAUGUUGAUAAAAGCCAAUGGAAAUCAAUGAACUUUAUAUUUCUGAAUUAGCUCUUUGGAUUUCAACAAAUUUCAAGGCAACAUAAAGUAGUUCAGUGGACUAAGUAAUGUUGAUAAAAUGAUAGACAAUUUUGCGUUUCUCUUGAUUGAAUCACAUUUUGUAAAGUCAAUACCAAAUAUAUAAGUUAAUAGCAACUAUCUUUCUUAAAUCGGUAUUAACUACCUACAUUAGUUAGGAGUAAAGGAUUGUUUUAUAUGACGCUUCCCUGAAUUACGAGGUUACUGAAAGCAAGACAUUACUUAUCAAAUAAGGCAGAGAAUGGAGAGGGAAAAUACUCAUUCUGCCUCGAUCUAGUCACUCUGUGUGGACAAAUCGAGAGGGAAGUUGAAAUGAGAGUCAAAUACACACACGCACACACACACACGCACGCACGCACACACACAC